CAAAAUAUAGUGGAAACAGGUGUUUCGCUCUUUCAUAGGGAGCUGAAGCUUAAUAGGGAAACGCGGUGCAAAUCCGCUGUGGUCCCGCCACUGUAACCGGAUGCCUGCAGGCUCUCUGAAGCCCGCGAAGCAGCGUCUACCGGCAAUAGCCACUGAGGGGCGGUAAAGCUCUCGGGAAGGCGCCGGAAGAUUCACCGGAAGCCAGGAGACCUGCCUGUUUCGCCGACACCAU
rnacentral:ncRNA from 2 species